GACGAACGCUGGCGGCGUGCCUAAUACAUGCAAGUAGAACGCUGAAGGAGGAGCUUGCUCUUCUGGAUGAGUUGCGAACGGGUGAGUAACGCGUAGGUAACCUGCCUGGUAGCGGGGGAUAACUAUUGGAAACGAUAGCUAAUACCGCAUAAAAUUGAUUAUUGCAUGAUAGUCAAUUAAAAGGUGCAAUUGCAUCACUACCAGAUGGACCUGCGUUGUAUUAGCUAGUUGGUGAGGUAACGGCUCACCAAGGCAACGAUACAUAGCCGACCUGAGAGGGUGAUCGGCCACAUUGGGACUGAGACACGGCCCAGACUCCUACGGGAGGCAGCAGUAGGGAAUCUUCGGCAAUGGACGGAAGUCUGACCGAGCAACGCCGCGUGAGUGAAGAAGGUUUUCGGAUCGUAAAGCUCUGUUGUAAGAGAAGAACGAGUGUGAGAGUGGAAAGUUCACACUGUGACGGUAUCUUACCAGAAAGGGACGGCUAACUACGUG
rnacentral:rRNA from 1 species